UUCCAGUUGACGAGUCCUAAAUAGGACGAAACGCGCUUCAUGAAG
rfam:Schistosoma curassoni strain Dakar, Senegal genome assembly, scaffold: SCTD_scaffold0001227